rnacentral:tRNA from 1 species
GGUCGGGUAGAUCAGUUGGUUUAGAUCGUUGACCUAAUAAGUCAAAGGCCGAGGGUUCAAGCCCCUCUCUGACCA